rnacentral:rRNA from 1 species
AACGAACGCUGGCGGCGCGCCUAAUACAUGCAAGUCGAGCGAGAAGACGUAGCAAUACGUUUGUAAAGCGGCGAACGGGUGAGGAAUACAUGGGGUAACCUACCCUCGAGUGGGAAGUAACUAGCCGAAAGGUUAGCUAAUACCGCGUACGCUCCUUGGACUUCGGUUCAGGGAGGAAAGACGAUACCGUGGGUAUCGCGCUCUUGGAUGGGCUCAUGUCCUAUCAGCUUGUUGGUGAGGAACGGCUCACCAAGGCUUCGACGGGUAGCUGGUCUGAGAGGACGGAUC